rnacentral:rRNA from 1 species
CCUACGGGUGGCAGCAGUCGAGAAUCAUUCACAAUGGGGGAAACCCUGAUGGUGCGACGCCGCGUGGGGGAAUGAAGGUCUUCGGAUUGUAAACCCCUGUCAUGUGGGAGCAAAUUAAAAAGAUAGUACCACAAGAGGAAGAGACGGCUAACUCUGUGCCAGCAGCCGCGGUAAUACAGAGGUCUCAUGCGUUGUUCGGAAUCACUGGGCGUAAAGCGUGCGUAGGCUGUUUCGUAAGUCGUGUGUGAAAGGCGCGGGCUCAACCCGCGGACGGCACAUGAUACUGCGAGACUAGAGUAAGGGAGGGGGAACCGGAAUUCUCGGUGUAGCAGUGAAAUGCGUAGAUAUCGAGAGGAACACUCGUGGCGAAGGCGGGUUCCUGGACAUUAACUGACGCUGAGGCACGAAGGCCAGGGGAGCGAAAGGGAUUAGAUACCCGAGUAGUC